GUUGAUGUUAAUAGCAAUUCUCAGUUUCAUUUCCUUACAAUUGAGGAACCAUGCAAGGAUUUUUCCAGCUUCUAUGUGCCUCUCCCAGUUGUAGCAAUAGCAGUUCUGGGCAUGAAGAUGGUGAGUUAGGUCCUCAGAAGAUGUUGUUAUGGCUAAUCCUAACACUUACUCUACAUCGCACCAUUCAUCUGGCAAUGGCUUAGAGCAUGUAGGCUUUCACGUCAAAGAUGAUGUCAUAGUAUGGGGCAUUAGCUCCUCCUCUGCCCAAGACUCUUUAGCAUUUAUUGGAAACAAAGCAGGGGUUGAGCAUGUGAGACACGAGGACAGAUUUCUUGAGCAUGCCAACCCCUUCUAGGAGCCCCUAAUUUUUUAUUGUCCUCUCCAUGCAAAGGACCUACCCGAAGAUCCUCUGGCAAAGGUUAUUGUUUGGAGACCUUUGGAUAAUGAUAUCUGCUCACCCAUCAAACUGGAACCCUUGGAAAGCAGACUAAGUAGUGAUAGCCUCUUUGCCCAUGACUUAGAAUCCCCCAUUAGUGGCUCCUCUCCCUACCCCCUUGCUGUCAUCCCGUUUAUGCCUCAUCUUGAAUCUGCUGAGCUGUUUUCGUACUCUCUCAACCUUGUGCAAUGGCAUAUAAAAUUUAAUAGGCUUCUCAAAUAGAGGAAGAAGAGAAGCAAACUUCUCCCUGAACUAUUUGAAUUCUCUCCAAAGCUCUCUCACGGGGGGAGAGGAAAGAAAACUAUUAAAGGGAGAAAACAGGUUUCUCCCUUAGCUUGUAGCAUGGCCUCCAAUGUCCAAGUGGAAGAACCAGCUGAUAGCAACAUAAGUAGAAUGAACACUCAUCACCGAAAUUCAAACCAAUUUGCUCAAGUAGAUAAUUUGCCAAUCUUUAAUAUUGAGGAGGAAGCAUGUAGAACUUUGGCUAUUGGCAAGGACUUGGGAUUGUCCUUCUCUGUCCCUGAUGAUAAACUAAUUAAAUUUUUCUCCAAGCAAAUCCAAAGGGGGAUUGCAACUGUUAAGGACCUCCAUUGAAUCGCUUUCGCUGUUUUUUAGGUUUUGUCAUUCAUGGUUCUUUUGAUAAUUUCUUUUCCUAAAGUUGAGCAUUAAAGUUUCUCAAGGAGUGGCACCGUUUCCUCAAUCCUCAAUUGCGAUUGGUGUUGUCUGUUUGUUUUGUCAAUCAUUGCAUUUUUUUUUAUUUACUUGUAGGCUAGAGUUGCUGCUAUUUUCUUGGGUUUGGAAUUGUGUUGUCUAAUGUUCUAUUUGGUUUUCUAUUUGACCCAUCUUAUGUUUGUCAUUUUGCCUGAGUGGAUUUUCUUGGCCUUUUGGAGAAGUGGUCAAAGGUUCAGCUCCUUCAGUUGGCAGAGGUCUAAGUAUUUGGGUCACUUUCAUAAAAAUAUCAUUUGGCCCAGUUUUCUGCAAUGUCUUUGGAAUGUGAUCUUAGAGUUGUUAUCUUAGCAAGUCAAGAUUGAUAAGGAAUCAUGGUAUGGAAGACAGCGUUGAAUUUUUAGCUUUUGCUGUCUCUUUUUUCCUCCAGUUGGUAUGCUUCAGGAGGUCUUUGGGGCGUUUAUCUAGCUCCCUUUCAUUUGCUACUGCGAGAGUUUUAAGCUCUCUGUACCUAAAGUCUAUAGCUUCAUUUGAAGGAUUGGUCUUUUAUUAUGCUUAUGCACUUUCAUGUGUUGAAGAUUUUCUUUGUUCAUCUGCUUAAUGCUCUUCAUGCAUGUCCAGGUAUCUCUAUGUUGCCCAAGCGUCUUUGUUUUGUGUCACUCCACAAAAGUAGUCUCCCAAAGAAGUCAACUUUUUUUUCCGCGAGGUUGCCUACC
rnacentral:misc_RNA from 1 species